rnacentral:rRNA from 1 species
CUGACACAGGGAGGUAGUGACAAUAAAUAACAAUGCCGGGCCUAUACAGGUCUGGCAAUUGGAAUGAGAACAAUUUAAAUCCCUUAUCGAGUAUCAAUUGGAGGGCAAGUCUGGUGCCAGCAGCCGCGGUAAUUCCAGCUCCAAUAGCGUAUAUUAAAGUUGUUGCAGUUAAAAAGCUCGUAGUUGGAUUUCUGGCAGGAGCGACCGGUCACACACUCUGUGUGUGAACUUGUGUUGUCUCUGGCCAUCCUUGGGAAGAUCCUGUUUGGCAUUAAGUUGUCGGGCAGGGGAUACCCAUCGUUUACUGUGAAAAAAUUAGAGUGUUUAAAGCAGGCUUAUGCCGUUGAAUAUAUUAGCAUGGAAUAAUAAGAUAGGACCUCGGUGCUAUUUUGUUGGUUUGCGCACAGAGGUAAUGAUGAACAGGGACAGUUGGGGGUAUUUGUAUUUCGUUGUCAGAGGUGAAAUUCUUAGAUUUACGAAAGACAAACUACUGC